UACGAAGGGGGGCUAGCGUUGCUCGGAAUCACUGGGCGUAAAGGGUGCGUAGGCGGGUCUUUUAAGUUAGAGGUGAAAGCCUGGAGCUCAACUCCAGAAUUGCCUUUAAGACUGCAUCGCUUGAAUCCAGGAGAGGUGAGUGGAAUUCCGAGUGUAGAGGUGAAAUUCGUAGAUAUUCGGAAGAACACCAGUGGCGAAAGCGGCUUCCUGGACCAGCACCGACGUCAGGCACGAAAGCGUGGGGAGCAAACAGG
rnacentral:rRNA from 1 species